GCGGGGCUGACGGCAGCGCCGUUCGGCAGCCUCCGCGGGCAGGGCCGGCUGCCUCCUCCCUCCCUCCCUCCCUCCCGGCCACGGCACGGGGCUCCUCCUCCUCCUUUCUCCGCCGGCUCCCUCCCUCCCUCUCCCCCUCCCUCUCCCCCUCCCUUCAUCCGUCACCCCCCGGCCGCACUUUCUUUGAGCUGCUCCCGCUUGCACUUUCCAUCUCGCUCCUCCGGGGCAGCCCGGCAAGGGGUCGGGCCGGAGCUAUGCGCCGUGGGGGGACCGCAGCGGCUGCCGCGCCGUAGGGAGCCCUCCCCGGGCAGGGCCGGGGUGUCCCGCUGCAGGCGGCGGCUCCGGGCAGAGCUCGCGCUGCCGUCCCGCCUCGGGGCGGAGGGGCCCGCGAUGUGCGACAUGAUCGACUCGCAGUCCGCUGAGAAGAUCAGCAGGAUGAAAAAGUUGCGGAGAACUUUGUCGGAGAGCUUCAGCCGAAUAGCCUUGAAGAAAGAAGACAGCAGCUUUGAUGAGAUAUGUGUCACAAAGAUGUCUACACGGAACUGCCAGGGAAUGGAUUCAGUGAUCAAACCUCUGGAUACAAUUCCUGAGGAUAAGAAAGUCAGGGUCCAGAGGACGCAGAGUAGCUUCGAUCCAUUUGAGAAACCAACUAAUCAAGUAAAGAGGGUUCAUUCAGAGAACAACGCUUGCAUUAACUUCAAAACUUCAUCUGCAGGGAAAGAAUCACCAAAAGUCCGACGGCAUUCCAGCCCUAGCUCUCCUACGAGUCCCAAGUUUGGAAAAGCAGACUCAUAUGAAAAACUGGAAAAACUAGGGGAAGGAUCCUAUGCUACAGUAUACAAAGGGAAAAGCAAGGUUAAUGGAAAGCUGGUGGCACUGAAGGUGAUAAGAUUACAAGAAGAGGAAGGAACCCCAUUUACAGCUAUCAGGGAAGCUUCUCUUUUGAAAGGACUGAAACAUGCAAACAUUGUGCUGCUUCAUGACAUCAUUCACACCAAGGAGACUUUAACACUUGUAUUUGAAUAUGUGCACACUGAUUUAUGUCAGUACAUGGACAAACACCCUGGAGGGCUUCAUCCGGAAAAUGUGAAGUUAUUUUUAUUUCAGUUGCUGCGAGGACUGUCUUACAUCCACCAGCGUUACAUUUUGCACAGGGACCUGAAACCACAGAAUCUUCUGAUCAGUGACACGGGGGAGUUAAAGCUGGCAGACUUUGGUCUUGCAAGAGCUAAAUCAGUUCCCAGCCAUACAUAUUCUAAUGAAGUGGUAACUCUAUGGUACAGACCUCCAGAUGUCCUUUUGGGAUCAACAGAAUAUUCCACCUGCCUUGAUAUGUGGGGAGUGGGAUGUAUCUUUGUAGAAAUGAUUCAAGGAGUCGCUGCUUUUCCAGGAAUGAAAGACAUUCAAGAUCAACUUGAAAGGAUAUUUCUGGUACUUGGAACACCAAAUGAAGAUACGUGGCCUGGAGUCCACUCGUUACCCCAUUUCAAACCAGAACGGUUUACACAGUACAGCCCUAAAAACCUUAGACAAGCAUGGAAUAAGCUGAGCUAUGUGAAUCAUGCAGAAGAUCUAGCCUCCAAACUACUCCAGUGUUUCCCAAAGAACAGAUUGUCAGCACAGGCAGCCCUGAGCCAUGAGUAUUUCAGUGAUCUGCCCCCUCGGCUAUGGGAGUUAACUGAUAUGUCUUCUAUUUUUACCGUACCGAAUGUAAGAUUACAAGCAGAGACCGGAGAAAGCAUGAGAGUCUUUGGGAAAAACAAUAGUUAUGGCAAAGGUGUAUCAAACAGCAAACAUUGAAGAAUACCUAAGUUCGUAAUUGAUAAUGCAGUAUAACGAAAACAUGGUUGCCAAAUGCACAGCUACUCAUUUGGAUUAAAUUUACCAGUUUGGAGGAGGGAAACAAAAACCUAAUGAGGAGGCCGACACCAGGAAGGAACCAUGGCCUGUUUCCUUUCUUUCUCUGUGGUGGAUUUCAUUCAAAAGAAAAUUGAAGCUGGCAAGACCCUGUUUUUCCCUGCAAUUUAUUUAAAACCUUGCACGCAUUUGGAUACCUUGUGAUUUCAGAGAACUAUGUGAAGAUUAAGCUUUUGCUUACUGAUACAUGGCAUGUACUCUUUCAGUCUUUUGUGUUUGAUUUUGUUUGAUUUUCCACUGCAGCGCUGCAUCUUUGUAAGGAUUUUUAUGCUUUCACCAGCAAUGUCUUAAAUACAUUAAGACAACACAUUCGGUGUUCACACUUCUUCAGUAAUGACUGUACAAAAAAGCCAGUGGUGGCAUAAAGGACUGUGCUUUCUUUGAGAGUUGUGCACAUAUUGCAACCAAUGGGAAGACAACUUCUGCCAGACCAAGCACGACUUGGGCUGACAAUUACAGCACCUUGCCACUACUCCUGAAGUGGUGUUGGGUUCUUUCUUUUCUCAUUAUCUCCUCAGACCAUUUAUAUCCAUUUUAUAAACAUGGCAAUAACCGCAUGUUUACUUCAGCACUCUGAAUUUGGUUACUCUGCUUAGGCUAUGUAGCAUGCCAGUUUUGGAAAUAGGCCUGUGAGAAAGACAAAGCAAAAAUGAGAUGCGCUCAGCUGACAGAUACACGACAAAUUCCCUAUGGUUUUAUUCCCUUUGUGAGUAUUUCUUUCUUUUGUGGGUCUUGGCUCACAUCUCCAUGUUUUUCCUCACGCUGUUUACGUUUUGGAAUGUUUUCUUGAAAGGAAAGCAGAGAUGCUGAAACGGUUCCAUUUAAUUCAAGGCAGAUACUAAGGUACGGAGACAUUUUUCUUGAAUGAGCCAUUAAGUCUAGCUGUGUUAUUUUGCUGCUUACGGAGCGAAAGAGAGAGUUUUCCUUAUCCCAAAUGGUUUGCUGUUCCACACGAAAGCACUUUUCAAAUGAUUUUCUAUAGGUAUCCUGAUCUGAUUGGAAGGCACUACCAGAUGAUGUGUCUUUAAAUCGCUUUUCUGAAUGAAUCAUUCAAAUGCAAACUUUGCAAGAAACAAAGCUGUGUGAUAUUAGGCGAGGAAGCCCCUGCCACAUUGUGUUCAGGGGUGGAUAAAACUGCCCUGAUCAUAUACAAUGCUUUGCAUUCAGACAGAGCAGGGCACAGUGAGAAAACCACUGUUGAGUUAUGCUCCUGCUCAGACUGAACCGCUUGCUAGGCAAUAUUAUUCUACACAUAAAUUUGACAUCCUUUGCUUGCUGGAUGCAUUGAAUUACAUUUUUAAGAAGUGCGGUAACACUUGGGUUAGCUUUCAGUGUUAAAAAGGAGGGGUGAAAGGAUUUGUGCUAUGCCAUCUUAUUAAACUCCAGCAGUGUUUAAUAAGAAAAGAACACCCAAUAAGGCAAAUCCUUGAAUGCUCAAGUAGCUACGAAAGGCCUCUUAAUGAACUAGCAUAUGAGUCUACACUUUCAAAGAGUUGAACCAUGGAAAUAUUCUCAAUAUUUGCACAGCCAUUAAAACACAGUUUCCCCCAAUGACAUCUCUCUUUCAGAAUCUGGUAAAAGCCAUCUGAAAGCCACUUUCAGUCACAAUCCUAUUUAGAAGUUAAUACAGUUUUUCUCCUGUAUUUAGGAGGGGAAAAAAAGUGACCACUGAACUUUUGACUUUGUCACACACUGAAACUGCCUUAGACGUGGUGUGUUUGGGUUUCAUGUUUCUUUUUUUUGUAAGAGAAAAGUCUUUUAUACAUUAUCUUUGCUACUUAAACUCUGUGCAGUUUGAUGAUUGAAAUUAGCUAUUUUUAGAAAAAAAAAAGUCAUGCUGCAAAAAUCUGAAGAUUUUUGAAAAUGUAAGAUUUCAAUUAGGAAUAUAAAGGUAGUUGCAUAGACACAUCUACUGGGCAGCUUAAAUUGGGAAGCACGCAGUUACGCUGCUCAAUUAAACAUCUGAAGGUUUAAUAUAGAGACUAAUUCCCUAACUGUUCCCACAUCCCUAGCACAUUGCUGUCCAUAGUGAAUCACAUCAUGUUUGCUUGUGGAGUGUAUGUGUGUGUGUAUGUGUGUAUACACACACGUGCACGUGAGAUUAUCUUCUCUGCCCCUUUCCCACUUUUAAGCAACCACUGAAAUAAUUAGAGUUGGUCCAGAAAUCUUCAAACUCAGUUGCCCAAAGCGCACAAACAUCUAGGUUCCUCAGCAGUAACUUGUUUUUCAUCAGUAGUGGGUCUAUCUUGGCACUGAUCAGUUAAGGAAUGACCCGAAUCUCUUGAGCACCUCCUUUCUAGUUGUUCUGACUGCCUGUGGUGACACGGGUCUGCUGUCACCCGCAGAGAUCUUUCUACCUGCACCAAAGGGACCUGCUGCACAUUAUUCUCCUGGAUCAUGAAAUCUUCCGGGAACCCUAAAUUUUUAUUUCAUUUUAUUUUGAGAAAAUGGGAGUACCUUUAUCCAGGGCAUGGACUGUACAGCCUUUUUCUCCCUUUUUGUCUUUCCAGCAGAGCCCUUACCUGCAUCAGCAACCUGACAGACACCCCUCAGUUAGGGUCCCCUGGCAGUCAUCCCACCUCCCCAGCAUCUUGCAGGUUUUCACCACAGCCCUUCUCAGUGUUGAUGAACUGACUUUUUAAACCCUAUCAAUGUCCUUGAGGCAGAGUCAGGGAAUAUCAGUAGCAUUACCCUCUUUUUUUUCUCAUCCUUCCCAAACCAAUUCCCUGAAGAAUAUUCAAAGGGACAAGAAAACAAUCAGCCUGGUCUUCCAGACAUGCUACAGGUCUUGGGAAUGCAGUGUUUCAUGCCAUCAACAGUCAAAAGUUAGUUUAAAGGGACGGUAUUCUGUGGGGCACAGUCCUUGAGAAACCGUGGGACUCAGCCGGAGCUGACAGCCGUCAGCUGUGUAAUUUUUGUUUUCUCGCCUGAGCCCCAGCAGAUCCUUCCUGAUGAUACCAAGAGGAUGUGGCUCAGCUGCAAGAGGGACAAGCAGCCACAGGGCAGCAGUAGGCAGAUAAAAGUGGGAGGGUGUGUUCUGACUCUACGAUAUCAGGUGAAUGGGGAAGGGAAGGUGAUGAUAGAGAUGGCCUGUGUGAUACGGAGAUUCCUUACAAGUUCACAUUCACAGAACCCAACUUUAUUACAAGUUGAGCAUCUGGAGGUGGCUUAGUCGCACUCCAGCUGGGGUCAGCUCAGCUCCAAUCUGCACCCAGCAGGCACAGCACCAGGCAGGACGCUCCAGCACUCAAUGUUACACUGUUGUAUGAUGUCCCGGGUCAAUGAGUCCUUCCAGUUCUCACUAUUGUUUUUAAACAGGAUCAUGUUUUAGGAUAAUGUCAGUACAUGCAACACUGAAAAUUCAAUCUACAGUAGACAGAGGCACUGGGGUUUCCAUUUUCUCUUUGUUGUGUGGGGAUCACGGACUUCAGACUCCUGUGGAAGAGGUUAGGGUAAUAAAUUCCCUUUGGCUGGGGGGUGACGUCCACUCCUGUGUGCUCUGUCAGUGCACACAACUGAAUGUGUAGUCAAUGCUCCGGUAUGCUCAUAUACAAAAUACUCAUCUGUGAAUAUAACUGGGUUUUGUAAUCUUUGUUAUAUAAAAUGUUUAGGCUGUACAGACUGGGGAGCAAAACACUGACACCCCAUAUAAAUAGAAUUAUGUUGUGUUACCGAGCGUAACAAAACUCUCCCCUACCAGCAGUUAGGUGGAGGGACCAUAUGUUACUGCCUUGCGUUCUUCACGUGAGCAAAAAAUCUAAAAGUAAAGGAUGCACUAAAAAUUCCCAUCCCCCAAAAUGCAUUUCAAUGGUGCUGCAUACAAAAUCCCAGCUUGCCAGCUUCCACGCGGGUUUUCGUAUGGUGCACUAAGAAGCAUUCUUUUUUUAACAAAUAAAAAGGGGAGGGCUGGUACAUGAAAACAAUGUUAAUGUAAUUAAAUAUAUAUAUAUAUACUUCAGAAGAACAGCAUAGUAAGCAGUACAGUAAAUAAAUGUUACAUUAUUUGUUACACCUUGUAAUUUGUCUGUAUUAUGAAAGAUGUAAUGGUUUGUCAGCUGUAACUGUUGUUUUCUUGUAACAUCAUAUUGAAUAAAGUGUAGCAGAAUCUCUCUUCUCCUUUGUAUAUGUGGUCUAGACCUAAAUAAUGGAAUAAAGCCUUUCUUUUCUUUUUUAUUCUACAGCAAAUGAAUAAGAAAUGGUUGUAAACAACAGAUUUUCAUGAACUGAAAAGCACUCAGAAGCAGGCAGGCAUUUACGCAGCAAUUAAUUGAAAAGAUCAGGCACCGAUUCAGCCAAACACAUGAGCUUAAUCAAAAUUACCCAGCUGCAUCGGGCAAGGCUCUGCGCGCAGCACACUUCGGUCUGCGCUGGUUACUAAGUUCGCUGUCUGGUGUCUCUUUCCAUGUGUUAUAUCCCUGUAUGACAACGACAACGGGCAUAGUUACAGUACAUUGCGAUUUAACUGGAAGUGUUAGAAGGGAUGGUUUUCUGCCAAAUUUGCAUCUGCCUUUGUACGGAGAAUGAACUCUGGCUUAUUGCAGCUUCUCUUGAAAUAAAGACCUGAUAAUUCUUGUGGAAAA